rnacentral:rRNA from 1 species
AUUGAACGCUGGCGGCAGGCCUAACACAUGCAAGUCGAGCGGAGGGGGCUUCGGCCCCGAGAGCGGCGGACGGGUGAGGAUAGCGUGGGAAUCUGCCUGUAGAUGGGGGAUAGCCCGGAGAAAUCCGGAUUAAUACCGCAUAAUACCUGAGGGUUAAAGUGGAGGAUCGCAAGACUUCACGUCUACAGAUGAGCCCACGUCAGAUUAGCUAGUUGGUAGGGUAAAGGCCUACCAAGGCGACGAUCUGUAGCUGGCCUGAGAGGGUGGCCAGCCACACUGGAACUGAGACACGGUCCAGACUCCUACGGGAGGCAGCAGUGGGGAAUAUUGGACAAUGGGCGCAAGCUUGAUCCAGCCAUGCCGCGUGUGUGAAGAAGGCCUUCGGGUUGUAAAGCACUUUAAGUUGGGAGGAAGGUUCCAAGGCUAAUACCUUUGGGAAUUGACGUUACCGACAGAAUAAGCACCGGCUAAUUCCGUGCCAGCCGCCGCAGUAA